rnacentral:rRNA from 1 species
AGAGUUUGAUUAUGGCUCAGGAUGAACGCUGGCGGCGUGCUUAACACAUGCAAGUCGAACGAUUAAACCGCCCUCGGGCGGACAUAGAGUGGCGAACGGGUGAGUAACACGUGACCAACCUGCCCCAUGCUCCGGGAUAACCUGCGGAAACGCAGGCUAAUACCGGAUACUCCGGGAGGGCCGCAUGGCGCCCCCGGGAAAGCCCCGACGGCAUGGGAUGGGGUCGCGGCCCAUUAGGUAGACGGCGGGGUGACGGCCCACCGUGCCCGCGAUGGGUAGCCGAGCUGAGAGGCUGACCGGCCACAUUGGGACUGAGAUACGGCCCAGACUCCUACGGGAGGCAGCAGUGGGGAAUUUUGCGCAAUGGGCGAAAGCCUGAACCGCAGCAACGCCGCGUGCGGGAAGAAGGCCCUCGGGUUGUAAACCGCUUUCAGCAGGGACGAAACCGUGACGGUACCUGCAGAAGAAGCUCCGGCUAACUACGUGCCAGCAGCAGC